rnacentral:rRNA from 1 species
AACGAACGCUGGCGGCAUGCCUAACACAUGCAAGUCGAACGAGACCUUCGGGUCUAGUGGCGCACGGGUGCGUAACGCGUGGGAACCUGCCCUUAGGUUCGGAAUAACUCCCCGAAAGGGGUGCUAAUACCGGAUAAUGUCUUCGGACCAAAGAUUUAUCGCCUUUGGAUGGGCCCGCGUUGGAUUAGCUAGUUGGUAGGGUAAAAGCCUACCAAGGCGACGAUCCAUAGCUGGUCUGAGAGGAUGAUCAGCCACACUGGGACUGAGACACGGCCCAGACUCCUACGGGAGGCAGCAGUGGGGAAUAUUGGACAAUGGGCGAAAGCCUGAUCCAGCAAUGCCGCGUGAGUGAUGAAGGCCUUAGGGUGGUAAAGCUCUUUUACCCGGGAUGAUAAUGACAGUACCGGGAGAAUAAACUCCGGCUAACUCCGU